AGUCACUGACAUUAGAUACCCGUGUAGUCCCAGCCGUAAACUAUGCGCGUUAGGUGUAUCGGUGACCACGAGUCACCGAGGUGCCGAAGGGAACCGUGAAACGUGCCGCCUGGGAAGUACGGUCGCAAGGCUGAAACUUAAAGGAAUUGGCGGGGGAGCACAACAACGGGUGGAGCCUGCGGUUUAAUUGGACUCAACGCCGGACAACUCACCGGGGACGACAGCAAUAUGUAGGCCAGGCUGAAGACCUUGCCUGAAUCGCUG
rnacentral:rRNA from 1 species